GUCGCUGGUUCGAAUCCAGCCUGAGGAGCGUUAUCGGGGUGUAGCUCAGAUUGGUUAGAGUACACGUCUGGGGG
rnacentral:tRNA from 1 species